UCCGUGCAGAGCCCUCUCCCCAGUCGUCCCACCCCACAGCUUGCUAUGUACUAGAAGACAUGCAAAUAAGGCCCGCCUUUUUGCUGAUGAAAAGCAGCCGGGCCCUGACCCUGCAGCUCUGGGAGAGGAGCCCCAGCCCUGGGAUUCCCAGCUGUCUCCACUUGGUGCUCAGCACUGAACACAGGGGACUCACCAUGGAGUCUGGGCUGAGCUGGGUUUUCCUUGUUGCUAUUUUAAAAGGUGUCCAGUGUGAGGUGCAGCUGGUGGAGUCUGGGGGAGGCUUGGUCCAGCCUGGGGGGUCCCUGAGACUCUCCUGUGCGGCCUCUGGAUUCACCUUCAGCAGCUAUGGCAUGCACUGGGCCCGCCAGGCUCCGGGAAAGGGGCUGGAGUGGGUCUCACUCAUUAGCUAUAAUGGGGGUAGCACAUACUACGCAGACUCCGUGAAGGGCCGAUUCACCAUCUCCAGAGACAACGCCAAGAACUCGCUGUAUCUGCAGAUGAGCAGCCUGAGAGCCGAGGACACGGCCGUGUAUUACUGUGCGAGACACAGUGAGGGGAGGCCCGUGUGAGCCCGGACACAAACC